rnacentral:rRNA from 1 species
CGUACUGAGACACGGACCAGACUCCUACGGGAGGCAGCAGUGAGGAAUAUUGGACAAUGGGAGCAAUCCUGAUCCAGCCAUGCCGCGUGCAGGAAGACUGCCCUAUGGGUUGUAAACUGCUUUUAUACAGGAAGAAAAAGGUGUACGUGUACACUGUUGACGGUACUGUAAGAAUAAGGAUCGGCUAACUCCGUGCCAGCAGCCGCGGUAAUACGGAGGAUCCAAGCGUUAUCCGGAAUCAUUGGGUUUAAAGGGUCCGUAGGCGGGACAAUAAGUCAGUGGUGAAAGUCUGCAGCUCAACUGUAGAAUUGCCAUUGAUACUGUUGUUCUUGAGUGCUUGUGAAGUGGUUAGAAUGAGUAGUGUAGCGGUGAAAUGCAUAGAUAUUACUCAGAAUACCGAUUGCGAAGGCAGAUCACUAACAAUUCACUGACGCUGAUGGACGAAAGCGUAGGUAGCGAACAGGAUUAGAUACCCUGGUAGUCUACGCCGUAAACGAUGGUUACUAGCUGUUCGGGUUAAUUGAGACCUGAGUGGCUAAGCGAAAGUGAUAAGUAACCCACCUGGGGAGUACGUUCGCAAGAAUGAAACUCAAAGGAAUUGACGG